UACAGAGAGUGCAAACGUUGUUCGGAAUUACUGGGCUUAAAGCGCACGUAGGCGGCGCCGCAAGUGUGGGGUGAAAGCCCACGGCUUACCCGUGGAAUUGCCUGGCAGACUGCGGUGCUAGAGUGUGGUAGGGGAGAGCGGAACUCCUGGUGGAGCGGUGAAAUGCGUAGAUAUUGGGAGGAACACCAGUGGCGAAGGCGGCUCACUGGACCGGUACUGACGCUGAUGCGCGAAAGCGUGGGGAGCAAACAGG
rnacentral:rRNA from 1 species